rnacentral:rRNA from 1 species
UACGGAGGGGGCAAGCGUUAUCCGGAUUCACUGGGUUUAAAGGGUGCGUAGGUGGGCAGGUAAGUCAGUGGUGAAAUCUCCGGGCUUAACUCGGAAACUGCCAUUGAUACUAUCUGUCUUGAAUACCGUGGAGGUCAGCGGAAUAUGUCAUGUAGCGGUGAAAUGCUUAGAUAUGACAUAGAACACCAAUUGCGAAGGCAGCUGGCUACACGAAUAUUGACACUGAUGCACGAAAGCGUGGGGAUCAAACAGG